ensembl:lncRNA
GGCUCCACACCUGUCCCACCCCUGAGACUCACAGGAGGCUGGCUCUAUCCCAGGAAACCUCACAGAGCAGAGCAUUUCCUGAAUCCACCCUCUCUCCCCAAGAACUGGACAGUACUCCCUCCUUUGUGCCCAGGCAUUCAUGUCACAGAUACUUGUUAAGUGAACCUGAUGCGAGUCUGAGUUUCGGUGAUGUGAAUUGAACCCUCGGGGUCAACUCCUGGCAGGGCAACCUCAACCCUGUUACAGCAUGAAGGCCUUUUGUCUCUGUGAUGGGCCUCAGAGGGCACGAGGCUUCCUGGGUUGACUUGCUGCUGGAGGACUUUUCUGAGCAUCUUGGCUCAUCCUGUGUGGGUUCUGAGCCUGGGCUGCCUGCAUUUGAAUCCUUGACACUUCCCAGCAACCACUUAGGCCUCUCUAUAAAGCUGGGAUACUGACAGCAUCUACCUCGCAGGGCUGCAUGAGGAUGAAGCGAGACCGUGUGUGAAGAGUUUGGAGGCUUGCCUUGAAGGUGCUAUGUAAGAGUUAGCUAAAUAUUAUGACAUUAGGUUGAACCACAUAAAAUUUCUGGUUUUAAAAAAAUUUUAAUUUAAAUAAUUUUUAGUAUUCAUUUUUAUAUAAUUUAAAAGG